rnacentral:rRNA from 1 species
UACGAAGGGGGCUAGCGUUGCUCGGAAUCACUGGGCGUAAAGCGCACGUAGGCGGCUUUCUAAGUCAGGGGUGAAAUCCUGGAGCUCAACUCCAGAACUGCCUUUGAUACUGAAGAUCUUGAGUAUGGGAGAGGUGAGUGGAACUGCGAGUGUAGAGGUGAAAUUCGUAGAUAUUCGCAAGAACACCAGUGGCGAAGGCGGCUCACUGGCCCAUUACUGACGCUGAGGCACGAAAGCGUGGGGAGCAAACAGG